rnacentral:lncRNA from 1 species
ACACGGAAAUGUAUUUUCCUGGCUGCAGCACCUGCCAUCUUGCCUCGGUAGGACUCAUUUUCAAAAACAGCAGCUUCUUGAAGCCCCAGAACGCAUUCCUGUGCUACGGAAGACGGAAGAGUAGCUCUCGGGGUCAGAAGGCGAAGGUCAGAAGGCCGAAUUGGCGGGAGAAUAGGUUUGGUGGUCCGAGAUCCGAGGCAACGGUGGCUCCUCGAGGUCCACGGUCCCGGGAGUAAUGUGAGGAUUCUUGCUUUUCUGGAAGCUAACACAUAGUCAGUGCCAAAGUAGUGACAGAAGAAAUCUUGAGAGGAAGCAUUUUUGUCUUGUACUUGAAACAGCUGCUGGGCCCACCAUGGCUCCUGUGAAGAUCAGCCAUGUGGUAUCAUUUUCUUCUCAGGAUCCCAAGUAUCCUGUAGAGAACUUGCUAAACCCAGAUAGUCCAAGGAGACCUUGGCUCGGCUGCCCUCAGGACAAGAGUGGGCAAUUGAAAGUAGAACUACAGCUGGAGAGGGCAGUGCCCACUGGCUACAUUGAUGUGGGUAACUGUGGCUGUGCGUUCCUGCAAAUUGAUGUGGGCCAUUCUUCCUGGCCCCUGGACAGACCUUUCAUAACCCUGCUCCCUGCAACCACGCUAAUGUCUCUAACUGAUUCAAAGCAGGGGAAGAACCGCUCCGGGGUCCGCAUGUUUAAAGAUGGCGUGGUGGCUCAUGCCUGUAAUCCCAGCACUUUGGGAGACUGGGACAAGUGGAUCAUCUGAGGUCAGGAGUUCGAGACCAGCCUGGCCAGCAUGGUGAAAUCCCAUCUCUACUAAAAAUACAAAAAUUAGCCGGGCAUGGUGCCUCAGGAGAGUUAUGGGAUCGACUUCGCCUGACCUGCUCCCGACCCUUCACGCGUCAUCAGUCCUUUGGCCUGGCCUUUCUACGGGUGUGUUCUUCUCUGGACUCCUUAGAUGACUCUGUGGUGGGUCCCUCAGCCCUUCUGAGCUCUGUGCUGAACAAGCUUUUCUUAGUGCCUAAAGUGUCUGCAAGUGGAAAUCCAGAGGAAGACAGAGAGAAACUGAGUUCCUGACAAUGCAUUCACUAAAGAAAGUGACUUUUGAAGAUGUAGCUAUUGACUUCACCCAGGAAGAGUGGGCCAUGAUGGACACAUCCAAGAGAAAGCUGUACAGAGAUGUGAUGCUGGAAAAUAUCAGUCACCUGGUGUCCCUCGGGUACCAGAUAAGCAAAUCCUAUAUAAUUUUGCAGCUGGAGCAAGGAAAAGAGCUGUGGCAGGAAGGAAGAGAAUUUCUUCAAGACCAGAAUCCAGACAGGGAAAGUGCCCUUAAGAAAACACACAUGAUAUCCAUGCAUCCUAUCAUCAGAAAAGAUGCACCCACCAGUAUGACAAUGGAAAUCCCACUUCCAACUGGAUGUCUGGAUGAACUACUGAAAGCUGCUGAGUGUCCUGCAGCAGGUGAGCUGUGGCCAGAGCCCAAGGAUGAAGGGGGCUCCCUCACUCUGUUACUGUGAAGAGGAAGCCUGAGGUGUAGCAGGCCCAGGCCCCAGAAGUAUGGAAAAAAAUGAGGUAGGGAGGGAGGGGACCUCAGGAGAAGACUGAGGUCUACAGAAUCCCAGGGUCAAGGGGAUGGUGCAGUGUUCUGGCACUAUCCUUGAUGUUCCAAGAGGGGUGAGAAUCCAUCUCCUGAGUAAAAACUUCACAUGGGGUGAGGAGGGGAGAAGAGAACAGAAAGGAAGCAGGGAAGGCCAAGACAGCCACCAGCCUUACAGCAAUUUUAACCAGAAAUGGACACAGACCCUGGACCCCAUCACAGGAGUGCAGGCCUAGGACUGUCUCCAGGUGAUGCAUAGCUCCCUUGUCAGGUUAGUGGGUUCAGGGAUUGUGACGUCUGCAGGGGUGUGGAAGGCUGGGCAAUGGGAGCAGCUUACUGGGCUGGACCAGAAAUACUGAACUUCUUUUCCAUCAGUGAAAUCCACUUCUGGGUCAGAAAAAACUGUGAGUUCUAGAGGGGCAGGGCCUAGGAGGAGGUCAGGUCCUGAGCCUUCCUGGUUUGACCCCCUCCCACCCCCUGUGUUUCUGGGUCUGUCCUCACUUCCACCCAGCGGAUCCUGAGUCUCUUCCUUUGAGUCCCUGUGAGUGUGUUGUGUGCAGUGGGGCCGGGCUGCUUCAUCCACUGCACGUUAAAUGUUUCCAACACUUUCCGGCCAAAGCUUAGAGUUGUCAGACCACCGACUUUGAAUGUUGACCUGGUUCCUUGUGGAACAGAGUAAUAGCUAUUGAAGUUUAAAGUCACUUUCCUGCGUGGAUGGUGAAGAGGCAGGCUGUUCAGGCAUAACUGCCCUCAGGCCUGGAGGGCUGUGGAGGUCACCGUUGGCGGUGGGUGGAUCUGGAACCUCUGUGGCUCUAGACUUUCAACUAUUUCAUUUUUUCUUUUGUAGUUUUUGUUUGUUGCUUGCUUUUUUACAAUGGGAACUAGAAUGUAAGAUGCCAAACUCAGCCUGUGGGGAACAUGGAUUUUCACAACAGCAACCACAGAGCGUGGUUUCCAUUUCUAUUCCCUGUUCAUGUGGGAGGCAGAGAAGGAAAUCAGGUGCUCAGUUCCAGGGACAUCACAGGACUAGGACAUGUGCAGUGAGGGUGGAAGGCAGAGGCAUUGCUUUAGGAGAAUAAAAUUACUGCAUGCACACACAUAUGUAUGUAUAUGGAUGUAUGUACACAAACAUGCAUAUUUAUAGAUUCUGUUCUCUCUCUCUAUAUACAAUUUUCUUUAUUUCACACUUGAUAUGAUUUCUAAAUUUAAAUACCUUUGAGACAAACGUGAAUUGUGAUGGGAUUUAAAAAUGUCAGUGAAAAAUGGAAUUAACAAUAAAAAUAUAAAUAUAAACUUUAUUUCUCAAUUUAAGCUCUACUGAGGUCCAGACACUCCAUUAAGCGAUGAUCCCAGCCAUUCAUUCCAUUGCUAAAGAACUGAGGGUAAUGGGAAUUUAACCGUGUCAAUGCAGUCUUCUAUUAUUAACUAAAGAAAAAUGGGUGCCCUUUACAGUUAUUUUAAGAUUAGGGAAAAAAUGUCAGAAGAAACCAAAUCAGGACUGUAAUGUUGAUGCCUAAUAAUUUCCCAUGAAAACUCUUGCAAAAUUACCCAUGUUUGAUGAGAGGAAGGAACAGAAGUGUUGUUGUGGUGCAGAGGGACUCUCUAGUGAAGCUUUACAGGGCGCUUUUCUGCAAAAGUAUUUGCUAAUUUUCUCUAAGAACUCUCCUAGUAAGCAGAUGUUAUGGUGCUUUGAUCUUACAGAAAGUCAACCAGCAAAAUGCCUUGAGCAUCCCCAAAACCUCCAUGGCUUUUGCUUUUGAGAAGUUUGCUUUUGCUUUGACUGGACCACUUCUACCUCUUGGUAGCCAUUGCUUGAAUUGUGCUUUGUCUUCAGGAUCUUAUUGAUAAAGCCAGUUUCACUCCCUGUUAUAAUUCUUCAAAAUAAUGCUUCAGGAUCUGAUUCCGCUUGCUCAAAAUAGUUACUAAUAGCUCUGCUUUUGUCCACUGCUGAUCUAGGCACAAGGGUAUUUGGGACUCAUCAAAUGUAAAAUUUCUCAACUUUCACGUUAUAGUCAGUAUUGUGUAAGCUGAACCAAUUGAGAUGCCUGUGGUGUUGGCUAUAGUAUCUCUUGCUAAUUGUCAAUCCUCCUCAAUUAGGGCAUAGAAACGAUUUUUUUUCUCAAAAAUUGGUAUGGAUGUCCCUCCUCUGUUGACUUCAUCUUCAACAUUGUAUUAUCUCUUCUUAGAAUAAGGUAUCCAUUUGUAAAUGACUGAUUCUUCAGGUUAUUUUUCCCGUACACUUUUCAUAAAGAAUAAUUUAUUUCACCAUUUUUUGUACCCCAGCUUCACCGUAAAUUUGAUGUUUGUUCUUGCUUCAGGUUUGACAGAAUUCAUGUUGCUGCCAUAGAGGGGCUCUUUUCAAACUGAUGUCUUAAAUCUUGUUCAGAUAUGUUAAAACAGGGCCAGGCACGGUGGCUUACGCCUGUAAUCCCUGCAUUUUGGAAUUUUAGACAAAAUAAAGUUUUUUAAAAUUUUA